rnacentral:misc_RNA from 1 species
GAUGAAGAACGUAGCGAAACGCGAUAAGUAAUGUGGAUUGCAGAAUCCAGUGAAUCAUCGAAUCUUUGAACGCACAUUGCGCCCGCCAGCAUUCUGGCGGGCAUGCCUGUUCGAGCGUCAUUUCAACCCUCGACCUCCCCUUGGGGAGGUCGGCGUUGGGGACCGGCAGCACACCGCCGGCCCUGAAAUGGAGUGGCGGCCCGUCCGCGGCGACCUCUGCGCAGUAAUACAGCUCGCACCGGGACCCCGACGCGGCCACGCCGUAAAACACCCAACUUCUGAACGUUGACCUCGAAUCAGGUAGGACUACCCGCUGAACUUAAGCAUAUCAAUAAGCGGAGGA